GGACGACCGAGCUUCACAAGUUCAAGCGUAGAUUGAAAGUAAAUAGCCAUGGAAAUCUAAGUACCGCCAAGUUUGAUCGUAAAAACUCUCCAGCCCAAGAUGAGGAUACUCCCUCAAGAAGUUAUGGAAUUUGGGAUGGGAACCGAAUACGCACUGGGCUAUCAUCGCUGCCCGAUCCCACUACCCUUCUGUCCAGUUAUCCUACAUUUAAUCAUCUAUCUAAAUCCACGUCCUCCCUGAUCGAGCAGCAGCCGUUGCCACC
rnacentral:misc_RNA from 1 species